GACGAACGCUGGCGGCGUGCCUAAUACAUGCAAGUAGAACGCUGAAGAGAGGAGCUUGCUCUUCUUGGAUGAGUUGCGAACGGGUGAGUAACGCGUAGGUAACCUGCCUGGUAGCGGGGGAUAACUAUUGGAAACGAUAGCUAAUACCGCAUAAAAUGGAUUAUCGCAUGAUAAUCCAUUGAAAGGUGCAAAUGCAUCACUACCAGAUGGACCUGCGUUGUAUUAGCUAGUUGGUGGGGUAACGGCUCACCAAGGCGACGAUACAUAGCCGACCUGAGAGGGUGAUCGGCCACACUGGGACUGAGACACGGCCCAGACUCCUACGGGAGGCAGCAGUAGGGAAUCUUCGGCAAUGGACGGAAGUCUGACAGAGCAACGCCGCGUGAGUGAAGAAGGUUUUCGGAUCGUAAAGCUCUGUUGUAAGAGAAGAACGAGUGUGAGAGUGGAAAGUUCACACUGUGACGGUAUCUUACCAGAAAGGGACGGCUAACUACGUG
rnacentral:rRNA from 1 species